UUCCAUUCAAGAUCGUCUGGGUCUAUUUUCUUCACAGAAUUCCUCUUGAAGAAAGUGAGAGCGGGACGAUCAGAGAGGAAGAUGCCCUGAGGAGGGAAGACAAAAAGCUGGACCAGAGUCCAAAUAUAAAGCAAGUUAAAAUAUGACAUGAACUUUGAGCGUUUGAUGGUGUUUGGAAGAAGAGAGCUUAUUCGUCUCUGUGCUCAGACUCUGAGCUGCCCAGGUACAGAAUCACACUUCACUCCGGGGUUCCAGGUUUCAUUUCUUGGACCCUUGGUGACGUGCCUGUCCCCAGCCCCGCCCCACCGCAGCCCCGCGGGCGUGGUUUCCGCACGGACCGCUCUGCCCCCGUCGUCGCCCUGCGUCAGGAGACGUCUGAAACAACGCUCGGCUCCUCUUGCCUGUUUCUUUCCUGCUGUUACUGUAGAGCCACGGUGUCUGUGUUUUAAAGGGGACGUUUGACACCAUCCCGCGCUGCCCGGACCUCCUGCCUGAAGCUCAGGGCUUCCCCGUGUAAGUCAUCAAAGCAUCUCACCUUCUUCCUUCCAAUUUAGUAGCUUUUUGCCUACGUGUCUUUUCCUUUUCAAUCAUUCCUCGACUGACUGUUUCCCACGUUGACCUUUAACCGUAAUGAGGCGUGACGUGACCCUGAAGGAAGGGCACAGGCGAAACACAGUGAGGUCGGGGCGGGGGGCCGGGGGCUGCGGCCCACCCCGCCCUGCUGUCUGCGCGCUACAAGGGCAAGGAGGAAUGUGUCAUUUGCACACCACAGCUUCAUUAAUGUAAUUUUAAGGCCAAUUAAACUGAUUUUAUUCAGGGUAAGUCUACAUUAAAUUACAAUGUCAACAAUCAAGAGA